rnacentral:tRNA from 1 species
GGCUCUAUGGUGUAACGGUUAGCACUCCAAACUCUGAAUCUGGCGACCUGGGUUCAAAUCCUGAUAGAACCU